AGCGCCAGGGAAUUACGAGCAAUGCUUAAAACCCAAAGGAUUUGACGGUAUCCCAUCCACCUAGAGGAGCCUGUUCUAUAAUCGAUAACCCCCGCUAUACCCAACCACCCCUAGCCUAUCAGUCUGUAUACCUCCGUCGAAAGCCUACCAUGUGAAUGUGCUCAGUAAGCUUAAUGUCCUCAUCAAAACGUCAGGUCAAGGUGCAGCUCAUGGGAUGGAAAGCAAUGGGCUACAAUUUCUAAUUUAGAACAUACGAAAUACUAGGUGAAACCCUAGUCAUGAAGGCGGAUUUAGCAGUAAAAAGAAAAUAGAGUGUUCUUUUUAACCUGGCCCUGGGAUGUGUACACACCGCCCGUCACCCUCUUCGACAAUUAUUAAUUCUGUUUCAUAACUCCCCUCCCCCCACCUUAGAAGAGGCAAGUCGUAACAUGGUAAGUGUACUGGAAAGUGCACUUGGCUAAUUU
rnacentral:rRNA from 1 species